AUUAUCUAAACAUUUGUUUUUUUUUAGCCAUGCUAUGCUAGCGUGACUUGUUAAUUUUGACGUACAUAGUUUACAGUUUAAUUAAAUAAUUACAUGGUAAAAGUACAUAUUAUACUUUUAAGACCAAGAAAAUUUUCAUAAAAUGACGCCAAAAAGAGAAGAGCUUCUAAAAAGAUUUAAAGAAGAAAGAAUCGCAAGAGAAAAGGCCAGAAUACAAAUGUUACAUGAUAUGAAUCGAAGAAAAUACAAUAAAAAUGAUGAGAACGCAUGGAAAUAUUCAAAAUCGAAUACAUCUUUAAAUAUAUCAAAUGGGAAAUCACCGGUUAAGAAUACAGCUUACCAAAAUGGUCCUCAUUUUGCAAGGGGUAUAAAGAGUCCAAUCAAUACAGCGAAAUUUCAGAAACACAUUAGUCUUACUAGCUUUGGUGAGAAUUUUUUAAAUGUCUCAGCACCUGUCUGGAGUAAUACAUCUUUGUCCAGUGAUUUGAACACAAAAAGAAGAAGCAUGCAUAAUUCUACAACUGCUGGGCAGAAUGAGUCCAUGAAUACAAAAUAAGUUAUAACCACUUUUUUUGGAACCGUUUUUAGAAACAAAUUUAUGUAAGACGAAAUUCUAUGAAUAGAUUGAUUGCUUUGUCCCUGUCUUGACAUAAGCUAGUAAUACAUUUUAAUUUUUUAAUGUUAAUUAUUAAAGAAGUUACGAAUGUUAAUCAUAAUAAGUAAAUCAGAAACUUAAAUUAAUUGAUUUUAUAAUAUAAUUGACUGUAAUGUAAUAUAAAUAUUUAAUCAACUUUCUUAUAAUUGUUUUAGUUAUUUUAUGUUUAUGAGGGUAGUUCAUAAAAAAUAAAAAUAUUUGAACUCAU